CCGGUGUCAUGGGAGAGAGGGGGCGGAAGGGGCUAUCUGCAGUCGAGCGGACAGAUGGGAGCUUGCUCCCUGAAGUCAGCGGCGGACGGGUGAGUAACACGCUGGGCAACCUGCCUGUAAGACUGGGAUAACUUCGGGAAACCGGAGCUAAUACCGGAUAACACCGAGGACCUCAUGGUCCUUGGUUGAAAGAUGGCUUCGGCUAUCACUUACAGAUGGGCCCGCGGCGCAUUAGCUAGUUGGUGAGGUAACGGCUCACCAAGGCGACGAUGCGUAGCCGACCUGAGAGGGUGAUCGGCCACACUGGGACUGAGACACGGCCCAGACUCCUACGGGAGGCAGCAGUAGGGAAUCUUCCGCAAUGGACGAAAGUCUGACGGAGCAACGCCGCGUGAGCGAUGAAGGCCUUCGGGUCGUAAAGCUCUGUUGUUAGGGAAGAACAAGUACCGUUCGAAUAGGGCGGUACCUUGACGGUACCUAACCAGAAAGCCACGGCUAACUACGUGCCAGCAGCCGCGGUAAUACGUAGGUGGCAAGCGUUGUCCGGAAUUAUUGGGCGUAAAGCGCGCGCAGGCGGUUCCUUAAGUCUGAUGUGAAAGCCCACGGCUCAACCGUGGAGGGUCAUUGGAAACUGGGGAACUUGAGUGCAGAAGAGGAAAGCGGAAUUCCACGUGUAGCGGUGAAAUGCGUAGAGAUGUGGAGGAACACCAGUGGCGAAGGCGGCUUUCUGGUCUGUAACUGACGCUGAGGCGCGAAAGCGUGGGGAGCAAACAGGAUUAGAUACCCUGGUAGUCCACGCCGUAAACGAUGAGUGCUAAGUGUUAGGGGGUUUCCGCCCCUUAGUGCUGCAGCUAACGCAUUAAGCACUCCGCCUGGGGGAGUACGGCCGCAAGGCUGAAACUCAAAGGAAUUGACGGGGGGGCCCGCACAAGCGGUGGGAGCAUGUGGUUUUAAUUUCGAAAGCAACGCGAAGAACCCUUACCCAGGGUCUUUGAACAUCCCUCAUGAUCAACUCUAGAGAUAGGAGCGUUUCCGCCUUCGGGGGACAGAGUUGAACAGGUUGAUGCAAUGCUUGCUCGGUCAGCUUACGAUGAUCCGGUGAGAAUGGUUUGGAGGCCUCGUAAAGG
rnacentral:rRNA from 1 species